UCUGGUGGGACAAACGUACAUUUCAAUCUGUCACUGCCAUAAAGUGUUGCAUAUGUUAUAACAGAAAUCGUAUAUAUUUGUAUUUUAUCAAACACAACACAUUAUACAUAUUCCACACUUAAAAACAAAUAAAAACAAUAUUUGAAUUAACUAAAAAUGUUUUUUAAAAGGGAGUGGCCUUUUUUUCGAUUACCAUAAACGCAACAUCGGUUUACGCUUCCGUGACGUCAUGACGCUCUCCGUGUUUGGUUUUCCGCGCCGCGCAGACCAAACGGAGCCCGACAUGGAACCAGCGAGCGGCUCCGGUGCCGUUAAAGCGGCCGGACAGCCCGCGGACGGCGAAGGGGCGGAAGCGGACAGGUCCGUGUCGCGGUCCGACAGCUGGAGUGGAGACGAUUCCCUGGAUGGCGUCCCCCGCUGCCCUUUGACCCCGUCUUUAUCGCCAAGGCAACGAACCGCGAGCCGCUCCAAGACCGAGCCGCCGCUGCUGAGGACCAACAAACGGACCAUCUACACCGCCGGCCGGCCGCCCUGGUACAACGUCACCGGGACCACCUUCAAAGAGGCCUUCGUUAUCGCAGGCCCCCAUUUUGCUGAUCAGCAGGGUAAAAUAUUGGCCUCAGUCCCAGCAGCAGUAAAAUUAAGGCUGUGUGGAGGAAGUGCUUGUGGUAAAACCACAGUGGCCAAUAAGAUCAUUGAAGCGCUGGACGUCCCCUGGGUGGUGCUUCUCUCCAUGGACUCCUUCUACAAGGUGCUGAGCGAAGAGGAGGAGGAGCUCGCGGCCAACAACGAGUACAACUUCGACCACCCGGACGCCUUCGACUUCGAGCUGCUGGUCGCCGUCCUGCGGAAGCUGAAGAAAGGGAAGAGCGUCAAAGUCCCAGUUUACGACUUCACGUCCCACUGCAGGCGCAAAGAAUGGAAAACAGUUUACGGAGCCAACGUCGUCAUCUUCGAGGGAAUCCUGGCUUUUGCCAACAAGGAGCUGCUGAAGCUGCUGGACAUGAAGGUGUUCGUGGACACGGAUUCGGACAUCCGCCUGGUACGGAGGCUCAGGAGGGACAUCUCACAGCGCGGCCGGAACAUCGACGGCAUUAUCAAGCAGUACAACAAGUUCGUGAAGCCGGCGUUCGAGCAGUACAUCGAGCCCACGGUGCAGGCGGCCGACAUCGUGGUGCCCCGAGGUGGAGAGAACUUUGUGGCCCUGGACCUGAUCGUGCAGCACGUCCACAGCCAGCUGGAGAAGCGUGAGAUCACCGUGAGAUCGGCUCUGGCCUCAGCUCAUCAGGGUCAGCCGUUACCCAAAACCCUCAGCCUGAUGGAGUGCACCCCACAGGUGCGCGGCAUGCACACCAUCAUCAGGAACAAAGAGACGAACAGAGACGAGUUCAUCUUCUACUCCAAGAGGUUGAUGCGCCUCCUCAUCGAGCACGCGCUCUCCUUCCUGCCGCUCAGCCCGGUAUCCGUGGAGACGCCUCAGGGCGGAGUCUACGACGGCAGGAGGCUGAGCGGCAAACGAAUCACAGGCGUGUCCAUCCUGAGGGCCGGAGAGACGAUGGAGCCGGCUCUGAUGGCCGUGUGCAAAGACAUCCGCCUCGGAAAGAUCCUGAUCCAGACCAACCACAACACCGGGGAGCCGGAGCUCCACUACCUCCGCCUGCCCAAAGACAUCAGCGAGGACUUCGUGGUCCUGAUGGACAGCACCGUGUCCACCGGCGCCGCCGCUCUCAUGGCCGUCAGAGUUCUGCUGGACCACGACGUGGCGGAGGACAAGAUCUUCCUGACGUCGCUGCUGAUGGCGGAGCUGGGCGUCCACUCGGUGGCCUACGCCUUCCCCAAGGUCCGCAUCAUCACCACGGCCGUGGACAAGGAGGUCAACGACCAGUUCCACAUCAUCCCGGGCAUCGGUAAUUUUGGGGAUCGUUACUUCGGCACCGACGCUCCGUCAGACAGGUGUGGAAGAGAUGAUGGGAUGGACUUCUGAAGGAGGGGGAGGAGUUACUGAAGCAAAGACUCCUCCCCCCCCAACGGCUUCCUGGAGGAGCAGAACGUCGUCAGGUCAAUUGAGGACAGCACAAAGUGGAGCAAUGGGCCACUUGUCCCCCAGACGGCUUCCAAAACAACUUUGAUCUUGGAUGUUUGAUGCGUGGGGUCAAGCAAUGGUUACGACAACAACAACAAGAGGUCUUUUCUCACAGGUGUUGGGCAGCAGAUGCCUUUUCACACAUUUCAUUUCUAGAGACAGGCAGCACCAGGAGGGGGCAGAAGCACAGGAGGCUUGUGAGCUCAUUUUGAAUUAUCCUGGGGUAAAUAAUGACCAGGAGGACAAUGCUGAACAUAAAGAGGAGGAAGAAUCAACGGAUGAGGAAGAUUCAUGGUCAGAAGAGAAGGAAAUGAAUGAUGAGGUGAUGGAUCCAACAUACAGACCACAUGCUCCUUCUUCCGCUGAAGAAGCCACUGCAGAAAUGGAAGAAGGGUCUGAAGUGAAGGAACAUGAAGAGGUAGGAUCUGAAGCUGACAUGGAAGUGGAGGAAUGCACUUAUGAUGAAGAGGAAGAAAUGACUGCUGAGGAAGAAUCUGAAAUGGAAGAAGUGUCAGAAGUGGAGGACUACAAUAAUUAUGAAGAAGAAUCAACUGAUGAUGAAGAAUCUGAGGAAGAGGACCCAGCUGGAAUAGAAGAAUAUUUCCAGUCAAAGGAUGAGCGAUUGAUCUGGUCUUCCAUCCCUCCCAGUGACGACACAUGCUGACAGCCGAGAGAGACGAGCCACCACGGCAUACGCAACGUCUCGUAUCCAUGACAUCAAGUCCACCUUUGACCUGUUGGUGCCCAAGUCUAUCGAAGAGGCCGAACAUGACCGACAAGGAGGGGGGACAAGUGGAGGAAGAUGGAUCCAGUGGAUCUGCAGGCAGACGUGGGUUUGUUGAUUCUCGCUGGCGUGCACCAAUCCAGUAAAGAAGCUCCAGCUAGUUCAUGGCAUGCCGAGUCUGGGAGGGCCGUUUCCCGUGCUGCCAUGACACUCAAGCUGUUCCAUCAAAUCUCAAGAGUGAUUUGACACAAAGACACCAGAGCAGAUCGUCGUGCAACAACUCGCUCCCAUUGGAGACGUUUGGGUCGAGCGGCUGUCUCUCCUGCCGUUGAUGUCCGAUCCGGGCUCUGAUGUGACUGGACGAGCACCUGGUCCCCUUCAGAGGUCGCUGUCCAUUCAAACAGUACAUCCCGAGUAAACCGGGGAAAUAUGGAAUAAAAAUAUGGGCAGCAUGCGAUGCCAGGUCUCGCUCUGCAUGGAACAUGUAGACACCGGCAAACUGCUGGUGCCAGUCAGAAAGAAAUCAGGGCAUGCGAGUUGUCCUUGACAUGACAGAAGGUCUCCACGGGAAAACCAUCACCUGCGACAACUUCUUCACUUCAUAUGAAAUAUAUAAAUAUGAUAUUGAAACUGAGUUGGGUGAUAAUUUAUAACUUAUGCUUUAUAAAUAGUCAAACAAGACGGGGUCAUUUUGAUCCGAGGACAACAGUUGGGAUCAUGUGCUGCCAUUCAAAGAAUUGAAGUGGUUUAAAACCAGCAUCCUCACUAAACUUUGACAUAUACCAGUCUGUGAUGAUCUAUCAACACAGUAGACUCUGAUCGUUAACUAUAGUCAGAAUAAUUAAUCAUUUUAUUUAUUUUUACACAAAAAAAUGAAGUAAAAGUUUAUGUAAAUGAGGUAUUAUUGGCCUUAAAUUUAAAAUGGAAUAAAGAAAUGCAGUGAUUGUGUUCAAAUGAAGCCAUUAUUAAGGUGUAACACAAAAUUGGGGGAAGUAUCCACUUUAUAUUCAUUAAAUAACGGUCAAACCAGACGGGGUCAUUUUUGACCCCAGAGGACAACAGGUGUGAUUAUGUGCUGCCAUUAGAAAACUGUGAAUGAUUCAAAAACAGCAUCCUCACUAAAUGUUGACAUGUACCGCUCUGUAAUCACAGUCAAAAUAAUAUAAAGUUUUUUAAAAAAUU